rnacentral:lncRNA from 1 species
AAAAGAAGGCAUCUAAUGUGGAGUAACCGAAAAUCAAAAGAAACAUGCUCACAGAAAAUAUGGCUAAAAGAAGUGACAAUUUUGGACAGGACCAAAGACAACUCCCAAGCUUGUUCUCUCUAAUAGGUGGACACAUCUGCCCACAUGCACCUUUUAUGCACACUAACCCCAAAGUGGUAAGUAGCACCUCGACUUCUCUCCAAAGCAUCCUGCCAGUGUGCUCUUGCCCUCUAUAGUUCCUGGGCAGGAAUCAGUAACCAGUCCACAUGGUCCUCCUAAUGCUGGAGUACAUAUCAAGUUCUCUGACUGCUCUUCCUGAAGAUCCUCUGUAGCCCUCUUUGCUCACAGCAUCCCAGUGGCUCUUCCCACAAGAACCCUAAAUCUUUUCUCCGAUCUCACUGUUUAACCCUUAAUACUCUCAGUGUAGGCUUUAGAACUGUCUAAUUUUUGACAACAUCACUUUGAAAUGUUUAAGUUCUACUGGAUGCAGUCCUUCAUCUCAUUUUAAUAGCUAGUGUUCAUCCUAUCUUGGUAUUUCAGUUAAAAUUUCCCAUUUUGUCCCUUUUUAGAAGCAAAACUUGGUUCUGUGAGGACAUUAAUGGUAGAGAUUUUUUUAAAAGUUUUUUUUAAUCUAAAUUUUGUUUCCUGGAAGUUCCUUCUUGCCAGGUGUGUUGUUCUCUGUCCUUCAUCCUGGGACCUUUCCUCAAUAGACUGGUGGCCCCUGACUGCUCACAUUUCAGAGUGAGAUACAAAGAGGUGACAGAAAGCCCUCUCCACAUGUGUGUAGAUUGAAGUAUCAACUGGUGGGUUUCUCUGUAGCAUAAUCCAGCUGGACAGUUUCAUUGAAGAGUACAAGUCAUAAAGGAUCUGUUAGGUCUUUCCUUUAGGGAUGGUCACCCCAAGGAGGAAAUCCUCCAAUCUCCUGCUUUUGAGUUGUGGAUUAUUGAACCUGGAUUUCCAGUUUUCUCCAAGCCAAGAAGUGAAGGGUAUUAGGGUUUCACCCUUUAUAAUGUAGUACUUGACUAACACAAUCUGUGGAAUCAGCUCUAUCAUCUUUGUGGAAAUGACAUUUAGGUGAGAACCUGAAGGUUAAGUCAGGUGAUUUAUACAGGGAGUAGAAAAAUCACUGGUUUAGUAGUGGUUGUAGCAUAUCUGAAAUCCCUGAGCAGGUGUUUAAAGGUUUGAGGUGUUACCAAAACCCAAUGGGCAAAUAGAGCAGGUAAGAUGGAGUAGAAGAGAUAGACAGAGGGGCAGAUUGUAUAAAUUGUUAAAGGACAUAGUUAGAAUUCUGGAUUGAUUCUAGGUGUAAUGAGAAGCCAUACAAAGAUGUUAAAGAGAGUGGCAUGAUUGAUUUUAGGUUUCUAAUAAAAUAACUCUGGCUGCUGCCA